AGAGUUUGAUCCUGGCUCAGGACGAACGCUGGCGGCGUGGAUUAGGCAUGCAAGUCGAGCGGCAAGCACCUUCGGGUGCCUAGAGCGGCGAACGGGUGAGUAACACGUGAACAACCUGUCCUAUUGUUCCGGAUAAUUGAGAGAAAUCUCUUGUAAUACGGGGGAGCGUGGUUUUGAGGCAUCUCAGAACUAAAGAACAAGCAAUUGGCAUUUGGAGGGGUUCGCGUCCUAUCAGGUAGUUGGUGAGGUAACGGCUCACCAAGCCAACGACGGGUAGCUGGUCUGAGAGGAUGGUCAGCCACAUUGGAACUGAGACACUGUCCAGACUCCUACGGGAGGCUGCAGUCGAGAAUCUUGGGCAAUGCACGAAAGUGUGACCCAGCGACGCCGCGUGAAGGAUGAAGGCCCUCUGGGUCGUAAACUUCUUUUAUGGGGAAAGAAGGCGGGGUUAAACCCGUUUGACGGUACCCUAUGAAUAAGCCACGGCUAACUACGUGCCAGCAGCCGCGGUAAUACGUAGGUGGCAAGCGUUGUCCGGAUUUACUGGGCGUAAAGCGAACGCAGGCGGAUCUUUAAGUAGGAAGUGAAAGGUUGGAGCUCAACUCUGACACUGCUCCCUAUACUGGAGAUCUUGUGUGUUGGAGAGGAAAGCGGAACGACACGUGUAGCGGUGAAAUGCGUUGAUAUGUGUCGGAACACCGAUGGCGAAAGCAGCUUUCUGGACAAAUACUGACGCUGAGGUUCGAAAGCCAAGGGAGCGAACAGGAUUAGAUACCCCGGUAGUCC
rnacentral:rRNA from 1 species